rnacentral:rRNA from 1 species
GACGAACGCUGGCGGCGUGCUUAACACAUGCAAGUCGAACGGAAAGGCCCUGCUUUUGUGGGAUGCUCGAGUGGCGAACGGGUGAGUAACACGUGAGUAACCUGCCCUUGACUUUGGGAUAACUUCAGGAAACUGGGGCUAAUACCGGAUAGGAGCUCCUGCUGCAUUGUGGGGGUUGGAAAGUUUCGGCGGUUGGGGAUGGACUCGCGGCUUAUCAGCUUGUUGGUGGGGUAGUGGCUUACCAAGGCCUUGACGGGUAGCCGGCCUGAGAGGGUGACCGGCCACAUUGGGACUGAGAUACGGCCCAGACUCCUACGGGAGGCAGCAGUGGGGAAUAUUGCACAAUGGGCGGAAGCCUGAUGCAGCAACGCCGCGUGCGGGAUGACGGCCUUCGGGUUGUAAACCGCUUUCGGCGUUGACGAAGCGUGAGUGACGGUAAUGGGUAAAGAAGCACCGGCUAACUACGUG